rnacentral:rRNA from 1 species
GAUGAACGCUGGCGGCGUGCCUAAUACAUGCAAGUCGAGCGAACAGACGGGGAGCUUGCUCCUUCGACGUUAGCGGCGGACGGGUGAGUAACACGUAGGUAACCUACCUAUAAGACUGGGAUAACUUCGGGAAACCGGAGCUAAUACCGGAUAAUAUUUCGAGCCGCAUGGUUCGAUAGUGAAAGAUGGCUUUGCUAUCACUUAUAGAUGGACCUGCGCCGUAUUAGCUAGUUGGUAAGGUAACGGCUUACCAAGGCAACGAUACGUAGCCGACCUGAGAGGGUGAUCGGCCACACUGGAACUGAGACACGGUCCAGACUCCUACGGGAGGCAGCAGUAGGGAAUCUUCCGCAAUGGGCGAAAGCCUGACGGAGCAACGCCGCGUGAGUGAUGAAGGUCUUCGGAUCGUAAAACUCUGUUAUUAGGGAAGAACAAACGUGUAAGUAACUGUGCACGUCUUGACGGUACCUAAUCAGAAAGCCACGGCUAACUACGUG